rnacentral:rRNA from 1 species
AUUGAACGCUGGCGGCAGGCCUAACACAUGCAAGUCGAACGGUAACAGGCAGAAGCUUGCUUCUUUGCUGACGAGUGGCGGACGGGUGAGUAAUGUCUGGGAAACUGCCUGAUGGAGGGGGAUAACUACUGGAAACGGUAGCUAAUACCGCAUAACGUCGCAAGACCAAAGAGGGGGACCUUCGGGCCUCUUGCAAUCGGAUGUGCCCAGAUGGGAUUAGCUAGUUGGUGGGGUAACGGCUCACCAAGGCGACGAUCCCUAGCUGGUCGCAGGGACUGGCCAGCCCGACUGGGACUGAGACACCGUCCGGGCUCCGCGGAGAGGCAGGACGGGGGAAUAUUGGCCAAUGGGCGCAAGCCGGAUGCAGCCAUGCCGCGUAUAUGAAGAAGGCCUUCGGGUUGUAAAGUACGUUCGGCGGGGAGGAAGGGAGUAAAGUGAAUACCUUUGCUCAUUGACGUUACCCCCAGAAGAAGCACCGGCUAACUCCGUGCCAGCAGCCGCCGUAA